AUUGAACGCUGGCGGCAGGCCUAACACAUGCAAGUCGAACGAGUUGCGGACUGGUGAGUAAUGUCUGGGAAUCUUCCUGAUGGAGGGGGAUAACUUCUGGAAACGGUAGCUAAUACCGCAUACCAUCAGAUGUGCCCAGAUGCGAUUAGCUAGUUGGUGGGGUAACGGCUCACCAAGGCGACGAUCCCUAGCUGUUCUGAGAGGAUGACCAGCGACCCUGGAACUGAGACACGGUGCAAACUCCUACGGGAGGCAGCAGUGGGGAAUAUUGCACAAUGGGCGCAAGCCUGAUGCAGCCAUGCCGCGUGUAUGAAGAAGGCCUUCGGGUUGUAAAGUACUUUCAGCGGGGAGGCGUUAGCCGAAGAAGAAGCACCGGCUAACUCCGUGCCAGCAGCCGCGGUAAUUC
rnacentral:rRNA from 1 species